rnacentral:rRNA from 1 species
AUGGAAGCCCACAUUGCCAUGGGACGCAUUGGAGAAGUUUACCACAAGGAUCUCAAGGAUACUAUUUACCAGAUUUGUGGGCGCCGAGAUGAGCAAUGGGAAAUGAUCAGCACCAGGAAGGAUAGAUCGAUUGCCGCUUUCAUCCAGGAGUUAAACCAGCACAUUCGACGCCAGGAGAACCAGAUGUGCGCAAGCAUGAUAGAUCUGAAGAAGGCAAUGACCAAGAUCACGGAGCUGGAAGAAGAAAUCAAGUCUACACGCGAUGGAUAUGAGGAGGAAAUGACGAUACUCGUGGAGAAGAAUGAUGAUCUGAAGAAGAAGCUAGGAGUGUUCAUGGGAGACCCCGCGCCAGGAGGAGAAGACGACGAUUCCACUUGCCCGGAGAACUACAUCAUCAUUGACGACACCGACUCGGACCCUGACGAUAGCGAUGAUGACUAUGUUGAUGAAGCUAGAGCGGAUAUCAUGGAGUCUUCGACCGAUCAAUUUUUCUAG